rnacentral:misc_RNA from 1 species
GGGCCCAACCUUCUGGCGAUCUCUUAAAAUAAAGCCUCAUGUCAUAAUGUCUCCACGUUUUUCAAAGAAAAACGUGCGUUUCAAAGUGCCAUGGAUUUAAAAAAAUAUGGAUUUACUUAAAAAUUAUGGGUUUUAAAAAAGGCUUUAAAAGGAAAUAACUAAAAAGCUUUUCCAGUGAUUUAAGAUGAUACCGGGGAAGGUUUUCCGGUUUAUCCCGGAGGGCUUGUAGCUCAGUUGGUUAGAGCGCGCGCUUGAUAAGCGUGAGGUCGGAGGUUCAAGUCCUCCCAGGCCCACCAAUUUAUGCUCGUUUUUUGCUUAUCCAAGAGUAUGAAGCUUAAGCGUAUUAAAGCCUCUUCAAUCUUUGUUUAUUUUAAAGAUUUAAUUUUAUCAUUCAGAGAUUAUUUGUUAAAUUUAUCCCAUUAAGCUUCCAAAGAGGCUUUGUCCCUUCAGUGGUACAGAUAAAUUUACAUGAUACAAAUCAAAACAGGACAGGUAAUUCAAAUUGAUGAAUUUGGUUAUGGUUGAUUUGAGAGAGCAUUAUUUAGGGGCCGUAGCUCAGCUGGGAGAGCACCUGCUUUGCAAGCAGGG